rnacentral:rRNA from 1 species
GACGAACGCUGGCGGCGUGCUUAACACAUGCGAGUCGAACGGAAAGGCCCUGCUUUUGUGGGGUGCUCGAGUGGCGAACGGGUGAGAAACACGUGAGUAACCUGCCCUUGACUUUGGGAUAACUUCAGGAAACUGGGGCUAAUACCGGAUAGGAGCUCCUGCUGCAUGGUGGGGGUUGGAAAGUUUCGGCGGUUGGGGAUGGACUCGCGGCUUAUCAGCUUGUUGGUGGGGUAGUGGCUUACCAAGGCUUUGACGGGUAGCCGGCCUGAGAGGGUGACCGGCCACAUUGGGACUGAGAUACGGCCCAGACUCCUACGGGAGGCAGCAGUGGGGAAUAUUGCACAAUGGGCGGAAGCCUGAUGCAGCAACGCCGCGUGCGGGAUGACGGCCUUCGGGUUGUAAACCGCUUUCGCCUGUGACGAAGCGUGAGUGACGGUAAUGGGUAAAGAAGCACCGGCUAACUACGUG